GAGCAUUGCGAAACAUUAUUCACACGCUGGGUGGUCCAAAAGGGUGUUCUGCGUCAUAAAAGGAAGUCGUGACAUCACCCUUGAGGCUGCCCUUCGCGUUUUUCUGCAGAUUUCAGAGCAAAAAUUGCAAAAAGUUUUUUGGCAGAGCCC
ensembl:ncRNA F09E5.19 ncRNA